rnacentral:piRNA from 1 species
UUCUUCGAAAACUAUUUACAU